UACAUGUGGGGCAAGCGUUGUUCGGAAUUACUGGGCGUAAAGCGCGCGCAGGCGGCUAUCCAAGUCAGUGGUGAAAGCCCGGAGCUCAACUCCGGAACUGCCAUUGAAACUGUUUAGCUUGAGGAUGAGAGAGGUGAGUGGAAUUCCCAGUGUAGAGGUGAAAUUCGUAGAUAUUGGGAAGAACACCGGUGGCGAAGGCGGCUCACUGGCUCGUAACUGACGCUCAUGCACGACAGCGUGGGGAUCAAACAGG
rnacentral:rRNA from 1 species